rnacentral:lncRNA from 7 species
CCGGGUUCUCUGCCCCUUAGACCCAACCCUUGUGUAUAUAAGUGUCCCUUCCUGAAGUCGUGUUGAGAACCGAGGGCGCCUUAUCAGAGCCAACAUGAGAGAGGAGAGGGUGAGGUCCGCCAUGGUGGUAGCUUAGGUUCGAUCACCGCCGGGACCUCCAAGCUUGACUAGGGUGUUUGCCGUACCCCGGGGGUUGUGCUCAAGGGUGUGAUUGAGCGUGGAAGGCCUCAACAGCGCCUUAAUUGCUCAUCAUCGUUCGUCGCUGCCGCCAAGCUGCCCUUCACCAUGGUUUGUGAGCUCUACUGCUCGAACUGAGGUAAGGAUCUGCCUAUUAUCUUCUCCAUCCGUUCUCGUCGUGAUAGCUCCGUCCAAUUUGGCUUUGGUGUUCUAGGGUGGCCGAUCGGUGUCUCGUCGGCAUGCUCCACCGUCUGGGCAGGGCGGCGCUGCCGCCGGGUUCGGUCGUCGAGUUAGGGGGUGGUGUAGAUAAGCGGUCUGGAUUGUAUGGGCAGCGGAUUGAUCUGGGCGGUUAGAUCCUUAUUAGACGGGAGAGACUAGCCUAGGUCAUUUUAAAAUCUAGAGCGUUAACCCUGAUCCUAGGGGCGACGAUGAGCGUAUGAUUCAUUGAGUCGCGAUCUGAUAUCUUCCGUUGUAACCUGAUCGAGCAGCCCAAAAUCAAGGGUACCCCUUCAGCCAUGCUCAAAUUGCUAGAGUCCCAGUACUAUGUAGUAAUCAACCCGCCAUCCACCCCCGGAUAAGAUCAUUACCUCCUGGUCUAGUUUUAUUUGGAUUAGUCUCUGGACUCUUUAGAAUUAGUAACCACAGUCCAUAGCCCUAGUUUUAAGUAAAUAAAAAUCUAGAAAUAAUUUAUAAUAUAGAAAUAAAUCAAAUAAUCUUAGAAAAUCCAUAACUUGCAUGUUUUAACUCCAAAUUGGCCCAUUCAAGUUGUAUUAGCUUCAUAAUAAAAAUGCUUACGCAAUAAACAACAUUGUUUUAUC